UAUGAAAAAAAUAAAAUAUUGUAAUCAUUAUUAGCAUUCAGCAUUUUGUCUCUGGAAUGCAUGCAACCUGCGACCAAACGUCGCAUGCAUGGUGCCUCUUUAAAUGCACGGCUUUCCCUUUAUAUUUUAUCAUGAAAUCAGGAUGAUAAUAAAGAAAUAAAAAAGUCUGUGCGAUGAAAAUGUUUCAAAGUUGGGCAGAUAAAUCUACUGCUGAAAACUGAGCACCUUGAUUAAACUGCAGUGGUGGUUUGUUCUGGAUGGUGGGGAAGAAUUUUACCAAAAAUGCAUCAAAUCUUCCUUCUCAAUGAGUGGAGACUAAAGGCCAUGGCUGUGGUGUGUAAUUACUCUGUGGCUGUAUGCGAGGCUGUUUUUGCACUGAGCGUGUGUGGAGAGCUGAUCCUAAAAACUGCACUUGUUCUAAUCCACAUCCUGGCUACCUGCCUCUCAGUCCUGCUGAAGCUCAACACGCUUCUCAAGGUGACACUUGCAGGUGUGAUCUUUUCACGAGGGGACUCGGAUCAGAGGGACUGCGCCAACUGCUCCACCUGGCCUUCAGCGGAGAACUCAGACAGCUGCUCCCUCCUGUGCAGAAAAAAAAGAGCCAUUCAGCGGCUGCAGUCACUUAAGACGGCGCUGCACGUCUUACCAGCUAUUUACCAACAUUUGCUGCAUGUUUCAGUGACCAUCCUGCCUGUUCUCCAUGUGGCUCUGCCAGUCCUGUUCAACAACAUCAGGCCCUUCUUCUCCACCAUUUUGGCUUUACUGGAUUACAGUGGAACCCCAUCAGUCUUCCACAUACUAGGACUUAUGUGCAACAUGAGAGCCAAAACAGCCAAAAGUGCAUUCCAACUUUAAAUAGUUAUCUACUUUAAAAACUUUUAACUUAAUAAAGCCUUUUAACUUCUUUUA